rnacentral:lncRNA from 1 species
AGGGUGGCCGCAAUUAAAUUCAGACUUGCAUUCAAACCAUGGCCCGCUCCGCAUUUCUUCGAGAAGUUUGCUUUCUAAAGACAUUUCAGAAUGUCUUUUCACAAAAGAAAGGCAGGGUAGCUCUGCCCAAGUCCCCUAAAUCAAGGCAAUGAGAAUGAAAAGGGAGAGAUGUAUUUGCAGCAUGCCACACUAGAUGUUCAUCUACAGGAAGAUCUGAGGCUUCUAAUUUAGGGUGUUUUCUUCUGGAACCCAAAGAGCAGAAAGUUACCACAGAAAUUUCACAUGCAAGCAUAAAUGAUCUGAAAAAGACAAUCACCAAUUUAGGUUGAAAUGAUUUCAACAUUUGAGCAAAUUACAAACAGCAGACCUGGCCUUCCUUACAACUUCCAUCUAGUUGUUGCACUGAACAAAAAUAAACAAAUGGAAAGCUUGACAGAUGAAUAAGACUUUUCUCAUGAUUUUAAAAAAUGAAAAUGCAACAGCAAAGCAAAUAUCACCACCGAAGUUAUUCCGAAGAAACUGCCUUUGGUAUGUAGGCUGGAGCAAAGACUCCAAAGCCUCCCCUCGAUCUCCCAUCAGAAUCCUCCACUUUUGCUGUAUUUCCUAAUUUUGUAGACUCUAUUGCUGAGCUCUUUAUCAAACCAGUGUGCAAUAAAAAAGCCUCCACCGUUCUACUAACUUGCAAUUUUCUCCCUCCUCCUGGACAGAGGCCACUAGGAAGGGAAAGCCUCAAAAAAAAAAAAAAAAAAAAAGAGGAGUGAAAGCGAAGAAACAAUAGACAACCGUGGCUUUGACAAUGCCUUCCCUCAACCCCCUUUCUGCUCCUGCUGUGACACUUGCAUUCAAGAGCAAGGACGUCUGCCAUCCGAUGCAUGGACAAUGGAAUGAGGAAUACAAGGCAGCGGGGAAGAAAGGAAAUCAGAUGAAUUCUGAGCUAAGAUGGCAGGGUUCUCACCUUUUCCAUUUUGGGGAAUUUUUUUGUUUUUUGGGUUUUUUUUUUUUUUUUUGCCAAAAAUAAAAAGUCUGGAUGGAGUCUUCCCGCAGAGAAGAAAUAAAAAGAGUGUUUGAAUUGUUGGAUGGUUCUGAAGGCUUCUGAAUUUGCAAACGAAUUUUAGAACUAUUUGCAGAGGUCUACUUGCUGCCAGUCAUCUCUCUCUCUCUCUCUUUCUCUUCUGUUUUAUGUCCUGCUAUCUCCAUCAUGCCUCUGUUACUAUGAAGACUUUCUGCCUGUGUAAGUAAGUGAGAGUGUGCAUUCCUUAAUGUUUGAAUCAAGACACACGUCUGCAUGCAUUUCUAAUCUAAGAAGCCUAUAGCAGUUACUACAACUAUCAAUUAGUCAGCAAUAGCUGAGAACUUCAACGCCUCUGAAGGAACAAAGGUGGAAAGACAGGCAGAUACUCCAGCAUCUGGAUCAUGCAACUUGCUGGCUACAAAUAAUGGCACCUUCUCUGGCUUUUAUCUGUGUUUAGUCCUCAAAUCUAUGUAACAUUAUGGGUUAUUAAUGUAUCCAGCCACAUAAUUAGAUAUGGAGCAUCUAAGACAUAUAUGUUUCUUUGGCAUUAUUGGGAAUAAAAUGCAUUAAGCUGAACUAAAAGGAAUUGCCUGCUGACAAAAAAGAGUUUAUCGUAUAUGUGAUCUACGUUCCAUUUUAAUCAACUCCCACUAGAACUGAAAUUAACUAUACGAAACCUCAAAAAAAUCGACCCUUCCGAAAACCAAUGCUCUGCCUUUCGUUUUCAAGGACAUUAAAAUAUUGCUAACUUGAAUACACAAGAAGAAAGAGGGUGGUAUAAGUAACAGCUGAUCUCACUCCCUUUUAAAUAUAAAUCAUUUCAAAUGGAAUGAUGUCCUUUGCAUCUGAUGUUAUCUGUGAUUUUGUCCCUCUUUUCUGGUGCAUGAAAAGCAAUGCUUCUUUCCUCCGCACUUUUUGUUAGAAUUGAAAUAAUUUCCAAGCGAGAUAUGGAAAAUAUCAUGAAGGUUAACAUUUGUCUCUAACUCCAUAAACACAACAGAAAGUCUCACCUGAGCACAGGUAUUCACAGCCAAGCCGUAGCAGAAGCUGCAAAACAAUAUCCCCUCAUUUCCCUCUGCUACUCAUUCCUUUUCUUGGGACUAUCACCCCAAAGAGCAAAAUUUUUUUCUUCCUAAAGAAAAUAGCUCAGACAAUAAUUUUACCCCUGUUAACUUGUGAGGUAACCACAGAAGCUGAGAAAUUCGGGACUAACAUUCAAAGAGAAAACCCAAACAAUAGAGCAGAAAAACUGAGUUGCAGGAACCGGGAAUGAGAGUCUAGCAAGCUUUUAUAAUGAGGAGAGGUGUUAGAAAUCAGGAUAAAGCAAGUCCUUAUCAAGAUAAAGCAGGGGUAGACAGGGGGGCACAGUAACCCCCAUCAAACCCUGUCACUUAAGAAAGAGAAAAUUCUAACAAGGUUGAGGAAGAGAAAGGAAAUGGUGCUAAAUAGCUGGCG